CAGUGAUUUAUUAAUGGCCGCAGUAUUUUGACUGUGCGAAGGUAGCAUAAUCAUUAGUUUUUUAAUUGAAAGCUUGUAUGAAUGGUUGGACGAGAUAAAUACUGUCUCUUUUUAAUUUUUAGAAUUUAAUUUUUUAGUAAAAAAGCUAAAAUUAUAUUAAAAGACGAGAAGACCCUUUAAAGCUUUAUAUAUUUUAUUAUUAUUAUUUUUAAGAUUUUUUUUUAUUUUUAAUAAAAAAAUAUAUUUGAUUGGGGAAAUUAAAAGAUUUAAUUAAUUCUUUUUUAUUUCUAUACAAUUAUAUUUGAUUAUUUGAUCCAUUUUUAUUGAUUAUAAGGUUAAGUUACUUAAGGGAUAACAGCGUAAUUCUUUUGGGGAGUUCAUAUCUAUAAAAGAGUUUGCGACCUCGAUGUUGGAUUAAAAUUUAAUUUGGGUGUAGAAGUUCAAUAUUUUUGGUCUGUUCGACCAUUAAAAUUUUAC
rnacentral:rRNA from 1 species